rnacentral:rRNA from 1 species
UACAGAGGGGGCAAGCGUUGUUCGGAAUUACUGGGCGUAAAGGGCGCGUAGGCGGCCUGUUAAGUCGAACGUGAAAUCCCCGGGCUCAACCCGGGAACUGCGUCCGAUACUGGCAGGCUUGAAUCCGGGAGAGGGAUGCGGAAUUCCAGGUGUAGCGGUGAAAUGCGUAGAUAUCUGGAGGAACACCGGUGGCGAAGGCGGCAUCCUGGACCGACACUGACGCUGAUGCACGAAAGCUAGGGGAGCAAACAGG